rnacentral:rRNA from 1 species
UACGGGGGGGUGCGAGCGUUGUCCGGAAUCACUGGGCGUAAAGGGCGCGUAGGUGGCCUGAUAAGGGUGUGGUGAAAGUCCGGGGCUCAACCCCGGAUCUGCCGUGCCGACUGUUAGGCUAGAGUACUGUAGGGGCAGGCGGAAUUCCGGGUGUAGCGGUGGAAUGCGUAGAGAUCCGGAGGAAGACCGGUGGCGAAGGCGGCCUGCUGGGCAGUUACUGACACUGAGGCGCGACAGCGUGGGGAGCAAACAGG